rnacentral:ncRNA from 2 species
AUGAAAUUUUCGGGAGAUAAUCUAUUUAUAAGAUAGCCGAAGGAAUAAGCAUGAUAGCCCAUAUUAUGUGAAGCUCUCAGGCAAAAGUACCGGAAAUGGACA